GACGAACGCUGGCGGCGUGCCUAAUACAUGCAAGUAGAACGCAGUUGCGAACGUGUGAGUAACGCGUAGGUCACUGCCUGGUAGCGGGGGCUAACUAUUGGAAACGAUAGCUAAUACCGCAUACUACCAGAUGGACCUGCGUUGUAUUAGGUAGUUGGUGAGGUAACGGCUCCCCAAGGCAACGAUACAUAGCCGACACGUGAGGGUGAUCGGACAAACCGGGACUGAGACACGGGCCAGACUCCCAAGGGAGGCAGAAGUAGGGAAUCUUCGGCAAUGGGGGGAAACCUGACCGCGCAACGCCGCGUGAGUGAAGAAGGUUUUUGGAUCGUAAAGCUCUGUUGUGAAGGAAGCGGUACUUAAACAGAAAGGGACGGCUAACUACGUGCCAGCAGCCGCGGUAAUAC
rnacentral:rRNA from 1 species